CACAACAAUAAAAGUCGGACGGGAUUAAGUAAGAAUAAAAAUUGUUACCGAGUCCAUUAGCUUUUGCCCAUGGAGGUAUCGGCUUUUUAUCCUUGCCGGGUUUGUCUUCCAUCUUCAGGUCCGCCCUUGUGUUCAUUGGGAUUGCUCGGCCACAUUUUUGCAACAGGUCGAUAAAUAUCGCGAUAUAAAUAAAACUUUUUGCCCGGUACUUCAUUCUCAUCAACAGGUUACCAGUGGAAAAUUCAGAUUUAGAUAUCGAACACAAUCUGAGGCAGUUUUUUUUUUUAAAUUAUAGUGAAAUCGAGCCGGCUUACGCUAAGAGGACAGCACUCGAUCGGAUUUACCAAGGCUGUGUCUUUCAUUAUUCGUGGAUUAUUUUAUGUUAAUUCAGCAGCGAGGAAGUUAACAUAGCGAAAGACCCAUGUAAUAAUUUUUUAUGGCUUACCGAACAUUACUGGAUUGACAGAUAACGUGCCGAGGAUAUUGUGCAGAGUCUAAAACUGAGAUGUACUCCCGAUGUGGAGUUUGUCUGGUCACAUUUGUCUGCCACUGAUUGAAAAUCUACCUUAGCUGUUUUCUAGAUAAAAAACAUUCUUACCAGCU